rnacentral:rRNA from 1 species
UACAGAGGGUGCGAGCGUUAAUCGGAAUUACUGGGCGUAAAGCGUGCGUAGACGGUUAUUUAAGUCGGGUGUGAAAGCCCCGGGCUCAACCUGGGAAUUGCAUUCGAGACGUGAAUAGCUAGGGUACGGUAGAGGGAAGUGGAAUUUCCGGUGUAGCGGUGAAAUGCGUAGAUAUCGGAAGGAACAUCAGUGGCGAAAGCGACUUCCUGGACCAGUACCGACGUUCAGGCACGAAAGCGUGGGGAGCAAAC